GGAAAGGAAAGGAAAGGGAAAAAGGCAGGAGAAAAGGCAUCUCUACUCAAGGCAACAGCACGAGUUAAAGGCGCCCUGGCUGCUGCCCAGGUACUGACUCACCGCCAUCACUUCCGUGGCUGGGGAAGAGGGAGGUCAGUAAACAGUUAUAGGAAAAAUAAUUGACAUUUAUACCAAAGAAGUACCUCUGAUACAGCUGCUCAGGAAGCCCAUUCCCCAGGCCUUGCUCAGUCAGACAUUCCUGGAGAGUAACUACCAAGAGAAAAUGAGACGGAUCCGGCCCUGUGAGAUACUACUGAUCAUGCUAAAUUUUCAAGGGGUCUUCAAGAAAAGAAGCAGCACAUCAAUUAAUCAAUAUUAUCAUGCAAAACAGAAUUUUUUUCAUACGUACCAACUCUUCACUCUGACUUGCCAAAAGAUCGUGACUGAAUGCAAGCUGACUUACGCAGACCACAAAUCUGUCAGGAAAUACCCGGAGUUCUGUACAAAAUGAAGGAAAUCA